ACUUGCUCUUGUUUUUUAUCAAAAUUAUACAUGCAAGCCUCCACACACCAGUGAGAAUGCCCACCCACCCCCAAACAGUCAGCCGGAGCAGGUAUCAGGAUACAAGCUUUAGCCAAAGACACCUUGCACACGCCACACCCACACGGGUAUUCAGCAGUAAUUAACAUUAAAUAUAAGCGAAAGCUCGAUUUAGUUAUGAUUAAUAUGGUCGGUAAAUUUCGUGCCAGCCACCGCGGUUAUACGAAAGACCAAAAACAACAGCCCACGGCGUAAAGCGUGACUAGAGAUAUCAACAUAUUGAAGGAGAACGGCGGCAAAGUCGUAAAAUACUACUGCACGUUGGAAUAACAACACAAAUGCCUUCAAACUACUUCACCUCACGAAAGCUGAGAAACAAACUGGGAUUAGAUACCCCACUAUGCUCGGCCCUUAACACAGGUAAUAUAAACACAAUACUACCCGCCAGAGAACUACAAGCGAAAAGCUCGAAACUCUAAGGACUUGGCGGUGCUUCAAACCAACCUAGAGGAGCCUGUCCUAUAAUCGAUACCCCACGUUUCACCUUACCUCUCCUAGCCAAGCAGCCUAUAUACCGCCGUCGCCAGCCUACCCUGUGAAAGAGACAAAGUGGGCAAAAAAGUUUUUAACUAACACGUCAGGUCAAGGUGUAGCACACGGAGAGGAAGAGAUGGGCUACAUUUAUUCAAAGAAUAAACACGAAUAGUAUGUUGAAACACACACUUAAAGGUGGAUUUAGCAGUAAAUAUAAACAAGAAUGGUUAUCUUAAGUCUGCUCUGAAGCGCGCACACACCGCCCGUCACCCUCAUCACAUGUAACACAACAUAAAAC
rnacentral:ncRNA from 1 species